rnacentral:rRNA from 1 species
AGUGAACGCUGGCGGUAGGCCUAACACAUGCAAGUCGAACGGCAGCACAGUAAGAGCUUGCUCUUACGGGUGGCGAGUGGCGGACGGGUGAGGAAUACAUCGGAAUCUACUUUUUCGUGGGGGAUAACGUAGGGAAACUUACGCUAAUACCGCAUACGACCUACGGGUGAAAGCAGGGGAUCUUCGGACCUUGCGCGAUUGAAUGAGCCGAUGUCGGAUUAGCUAGUUGGCGGGGUAAAGGCCCACCAAGGCGACGAUCCGUAGCUGGUCUGAGAGGAUGAUCAGCCACACUGGAACUGAGACACGGUCCAGACUCCUACGGGAGGCAGCAGUGGGGAAUAUUAGACAAUGGGCGAAAGCCUGAUCCAGCAAUACCGCGUGGGUGAAGAAGGACUUAGGGUUGUAAAGCCCUUUUGUUGGGAAAGAAAAGCAGCAGGUUAAUACCCCGCUGUUCUGACGGUACCCAAAGAAUAAGCACCGGCUAACUUCGUG